rnacentral:rRNA from 1 species
GUCCUAGCCGUAAACGGUGCUUGCUUGCUGUAAGAGGAAUCGACCCCUUUUGUGGCGAAGCUAACGCGAUAAGCAAGCCGCCUGGGAAGUACGGUCGCAAGAUUAAAACUCAAAGAAAUUGACGGGGCCUGCACAAGCGGUGGAGUAUGUGGCUUAAUUCGAUGCAACGCGAAGAACCUUACCUGGCCUUGACAUGCAUGUAGUAGAACCCUGAAAGGGGACGAGUAGCAAUACCAGCAUGCACAGGUGCUGCAUGGCUGUCGU